GGCUACCUGGGCAGAGGGGCCCGAGCCUGGAGUCAGGGAGGCUGGUGGGUGUGGAGUCCCAGGAACCACCACCAAGCCCCCCACAUCCCUCCUAAGGAGGCCUGGCUGGGCCCUCCCUGCUCCGUGUGUGUAGCCGAAGGCGUCUGCGGAGGGUGCUGAGCAAGGCACAUCCCACCCCAUCCCGCUGGGGCUGGCGUUGCUGGCGGGUUCUGUAAGACACAACCUCCACGGGUUGGCCUCAUCUGAGUGGCCUUGGCAGAGUCCACUCUGCUUCUUGAAGCCUCAGUUUCCCCCUUGUAAAGUAAAGAUCGAGGCAUUCAGAGUCAUGUCAGGGUGGUAGGGGGCAGAAUGGGAGGGUCCUGGGACCUGAAUCAGCAGCCUCGGCGGGGGCCUGUCCACCCCUCCCCCAGGUCCUCCCCACACGGCCGCUCACAAUGCCUCGGUGGACAUGUGCGAGCUCAAAAGGGACCUCCAGCUGCUCAGCCAGUUCCUGAAGCAUCCACAGAAGGCCUCAAGGAGGCCCUCGGCUGCCCCCGCCAGCCAGCAGUUGCAGAGCCUGGAGUCGAAGCUGACCUCUGUGAGAUUCAUGGGGGACACGGUGU
rnacentral:sRNA from 1 species